rnacentral:rRNA from 1 species
GACGAACGCUGGCGGCGUGCUUAACACAUGCAAGUCGAACGGAAAGGCCCUGCUUUUGUGGGGUGCUCGAGUGGCGAACGGGUGAGUAACACGUGAGUAACCUGCCCUUGACUUUGGGAUAACUUCAGGAAACUGGGGCUAAUACCGGAUAGGAGCUCCUGCUGCAUGGUGGGGGUUGGAAAGUUUCGGCGGUUGGGGAUGGACUCGCGGCUUAUCAGCUUGUUGGUGGGGUAGUGGCUUACCAAGGCUUUGACGGGUAGCCGGCCUGAGAGGGUGACCGGCCACAUUGGGACUGAGAUACGGCCCAGACUCCUACGGGAGGCAGCAGUGGGGAAUAUUGCACAAUGGGCGGAGGCCUGAUGCAGCAACGCCGCGUGCGGGAUGACGGCCUUCGGGUUGUAAACCGCUUUCGCCUGUGACGAAGCGUGAGUGACGGUAAUGGGUAAAGAAGCACCGGCUAACUACGUGCCAGCAGCCGCGGUGAUACGUAGGGUGCGAGCGUUGUCCGGAUUUAUUGGGCGUAAAGGGCUCGUAGGUGGUUGAUCGCGUCGGAAGUGUAAUCUUGGGGCUUAACCCUGAGCGUGCUUUCGAUACGGGUUGACUUGAGGAAGGUAGGGGAGAAUGGAAUUCCUGGUGGAGCGGUGGAAUGCGCAGAUAUCAGGAGGAACACCAGUGGCGAAGGCGGUUCUCUGGGCCUUUCCUGACGCUGAGGAGCGAAAGCGUGGGGAGCGAACAGGCUUAGAUACCCUGGUAGUCCACGCUGUAAACGGUGGGUACUAGGUGUGGGGUCCAUUCCACGGGUUCCGUGCCGUAGCUAACGCUUUAAGUACCCCGCCUGGGGAGUACGGCCGCAAGGCUAAAACUCAAAGGAAUUGACGGGGCCCCGCACAAGCGGCGGAGCAUGCGGAUUAAUUCGAUGCAACGCGUAGAACCUUACCUGGGUUUGACAUGGAUCGGGAGCGCUCAGAGAUGGGUGUGCCUCUUUUGGGGUCGGUUCACAGGUGGUGCAUGGCUGUCGUCAGCUCGUGUCGUGAGAUGUUGGGUUAAGUCCCGCAACGAGCGCAACCCUUGUUCACUGUUGCCAGCACGUUAUGGUGGGGACUCAGUGGAGACCGCCGGGGUCAACUCGGAGGAAGGUGGGGAUGACGUCAAGUCAUCAUGCCCCUUAUGUCCAGGGCUUCACGCAUGCUACAAUGGCUGGUACAGAGAGUGGCGAGCCUGUGAGGGUGAGCGAAUCUCGGAAAGCCGGUCUCAGUUCGGAUUGGGGUCUGCAACUCGACCUCAUGAAGUCGGAGUCGCUAGUAAUCGCAGAUCAGCAACGCUGCGGUGAAUACGUUCCCGGG